rnacentral:rRNA from 1 species
CCUUAGAGUUUGAUCCUGGCUCAGGAUGAACGCUGGCGGCGUGCCUAAUACAUGCAAGUCGAACGAAUCUCUUCGGAGAUGAGUGGCGAACGGGUGAGUAAUACAUAGGUAACCUGCCCCUGUGCGGGGGAUAACAGGAGGAAACUCCUGCUAAUACCGCAUAGCCAUGAGCACCGCAUGGAGCUCAUGCCAAAUAUCCUUUCGGGGAUAGCGCAGGGAUGGACCUAUGGCGCAUUAGCUUGUUGGCGGGGCAACGGCCCACCAAGGCAACGAUGCGUAGCCGGCCUGAGAGGGCGGACGGCCACAUUGGGACUGAGACACGGCCCAGACUCCUACGGGAGGCAGCAGUAGGGAAUUUUCGGCAAUGGGGGAAACCCUGACCGAGCAACGCCGCGUGAGCGAAGAAGGCCUUCGGGUCGUAAAGCUCUGUUGUAAAGGAAGAACGGCGCAUACAGGAAAUGGUAUGCGAGUGACGGUACUUUACCAGAAAGCCACGGCUAACUACGUGCCAGCAGCCGCGGUAAUACGUAGGUGGCGAGCGUUAUCCGGAAUCAUUGGGCGUAAAGAGGGAGCAGGCGGCCGCAAGGGUCUGUGGUGAAAGACCGAAGCUAAACUUCGGUAAGCCAUGGAAACCGGGCGGCUAGAGUGCGGAAGAGGAUCGUGGAAUUCCAUGUGUAGCGGUGAAAUGCGUAGAUAUAUGGAGGAACACCAGUGGCGAAGGCGACGGUCUGGGCCGCAACUGACGCUCAUUCCCGAAAGCGUGGGGAGCAAAUAGGAUUAGAUACCCUAGUAGUCCACGCCGUAAACGAUGGUCACUAAGUGUCGGGGGUCAAACCCCGGUGCUGCAGUCAACGCAAUAAGUGACCCGCCUGAGUAGUACGUUCGCAAGAAUGAAACU